AUGGGUGCAGGAGGACUCCUCGUUGGUUUAAUUCCAGGCCUGGUCAUCUGUUGCUGCAUUCCCAACUAUUGUAACUGCACCCCCUUUGCAAAGCAGACUGAAGACAAACCACCGUCCCAAAAGAAAUCGACCAAAAUGUCCUCAAGCAAACAGAGGACCUCAAACGUGGACCCACUGAAACCUUCCAGUUUUCCCAUCAUAGAGAAUGCUGCAAGCCAUUCGGAAGGGGUCAAAAUUGCUAGAGGGCCAUUCUGUGGCUGCUUCUGUGGAACCUGUAGAGCACAAGAUUUGGGAGAGGCCAAAUCUUUCCUCAAGAGGCCGGUGGUUGCCUUUUUAUCGACGGAUCCUGUGGGUAAAACCGUUGUGACUCUCCAUGAGAAAGGAGACAACCUAUCUUGCUGCCUGGCACACAGAGGAUGUAUCAACAGGGUGAAUGACGCCUCUAGAUCUACCAAAGCCCAUGGCAGUCAGGAGCAAUCAUUUGCAAAGAGGGGUGCAGGAUCCUGCUGCCCGUGCAUCCAGCAUGCAACUUUACAUCAGAUGGAGUGGAAGAAACAUGAGUUGAGGGAAGGAGUCAAUCACCAGUUGGAUGGACAGAUAUCACACCCAGAGACUCAGCUUGGUGGUGUUCAGGACUCCGAAGCUCUGGUCCAUAUAGAUUUUCCAGAUGGAAGUGCCCUCAAGAGGGAGAGAGACUCUUCCAUGUUUUACAAGACCCCUUCCGAGAGAAAAGAGUUGGCUCAGAGUGGAUUGAACUCUACUACCCAUAGUUGGCUGGCAACAAAGAAGAAGAACAUGUCAAUGUCUGGAAGACCUAGUCAUCACUACCAGGGUGGUAGUGGCACAUCUCGUAGAUGCAGAAAAGCCUCUGGAGAGAAACUGUAUGGAGAACGCUUCACAGAGGGAAGCCAUUCUAAGCACCCAACCAGAAAUGGACAGUCAUCUUGGAAGACUGAUAUUUAUUCCAAAGGCUAUUCCUCCUUGCCAAGCAAGGGCAGAAUAAAACAGCAGAGGAAUCAACCAGGUGAUCUGCACACCCCUCCAUACUGUGGCAUGACUUCCACUUCUUGCCUUUCCAAUGUGCCCAGCCAGUCAGAGGAUUACAGCCCCAGGUCUCCAAAGGAUGCAUGUACUGAAAUGCUGUCCAUCACACAAUAUCCUGAGGAAGGAGGGAGCAACUCCCAAUGCUUGGAUACUACAACACAGGCCAGAACAAGAGUUCUUGAACAUAGAAAACCUGGGAUCCAGCAACAAGGCCCAGACAUUUCUUUGUCAAGGAAUGUACCCACCACCAAAAGAAUGUGGAAACAUAGAAGCGAUAGAGAGGAACCCAACCAGUAUUGGAUAGCUCAGAGGGGGCACACUCAACAGAGCACCACCCCUAGGACCUCCAGAAGGCUAGAUAAAGCCACCCAAUGGUCUUCCACUGACAAAGUCUACCUGAAAGAACAUGAAGCAGCCCUUGGUCUGCACCACAAUGCUGAGAGGUCGAAGUUGGAAGACGUCUGGCAACCAAUCUCUUUAUCAGCCCUUCACCCUUCCUGUGGAAUUCCUCAUCAUGGGCAGAGGGAAGGUGAUUUAGAGACUCCUUCUCCUCUGGCCCACACAACAGCACUUGCCACUGUCUUCCCGCCGACUAAGAACACCACGCAAUUGAUUCUAAAAGGUCAGGAUAGGAGCCUGGGGGUUGUGGGGACAUUAGAAGCUAAGAUGGUGGUUGACCACAGAGUGGACAUGUACCCUCCAAGGGGUGUGAGCCUCAGAACCUUGAGUGAAGAAAUCCUGGAUGCAGAAGCACCUUUAGAGUCUUUUGCCAUUGGCACUGCCAAUCCAUGUUUUGCAGAAGGUAAAGAGGAUGGUGUUGGCUCAUCUUCCAAAGCAACAGAUCUGAAUUCCUGCUAUGACACUCCUAUCGGCCUCCUCUUCACGAUAGAUGAGAAUCUGUGGCUGCUGGAGCUUCCUACGUCUGAUAAGAGCUGCAGCAACAUGAUUUAUUCAAGCUUUCAAGGGGGUGGAUAUGAAGAGGCCGAAACUGUCACAUCAAGCUGCCCUUUGGUUCAGAAAAUGUGCCAGAUCAAUUUCCCCCUUCUGGCUGAAGAGGAAAACACAAGCUUGCCAGGUGAGCAUACGGAGGCUGACUCAGCUGAUAUGAGGGAAGACUAUGUGGUUGCCUAUGAAAGCCCUUCAGGAAAUGUUGGGGAGCAAGAAGGCUGCUUAAAGACUGAACUUGAUGCCAAGUCUAAGAAGUAG
rnacentral:lncRNA from 1 species